rnacentral:rRNA from 1 species
UACGUAGGGGGCAAGCGUUGUCCGGAUUUACUGGGCGUAAAGAGCGCGCAGGCGGUCGGAUCAGUCGAAUGUGAAAGCCCCCGGCUCAACUGGGGAGGGUCAUUCGAUACUGUCCGACUCGAAGGCAGGAGAGGGAAGCGGAAUUCCCGGUGUAGUGGUGAAAUGCGUAGAUAUCGGGAGGAACACCAGUGGCGAAGGCGGCUUUCUGGCCUGUUCUUGACGCUGAGGCGCGAAAGCUAGGGGAGCAAACGGG